rnacentral:rRNA from 1 species
GAUGAACGCUGGCGACGUGCCUAAUACAUGCAAGUCGAGCGAACAGACGAGGAGCUUGCUCCUCUGACGUUAGCGGCGGACGGGUGAGUAACACGUGGAUAACCUACCUAUAAGACUGGGAUAACUUCGGGAAACCGGAGCUAAUACCGGAUAAUAUAUUGAACCGCAUGGUUCAAUAGUGAAAGACGGUUUUGCUGUCACUUAUAGAUGGAUCCGCGCCGCAUUAGCUAGUUGGUAAGGUAACGGCUUACCAAGGCAACGAUGCGUAGCUGACCUGAGAGGGUGAUCGGCCACACUGGAACUGAGACACGGUCCAGACUCCUACGGGAGGCAGCAGUAGGGAAUCUUCCGCAAUGGGCGAAAGCCUGACGGAGCAACGCCGCGUGAGUGAUGAAGGUCUUCGGAUCGUAAAACUCUGUUAUUAGGGAAGAACAAAUGUGUAAGUAACUAUGCACGUCUUGACGGUACCUAAUCAGAAAGCCACGGCUAACUACGUG